AUGAGAACACCCCAGGGUGAAAAGUGCACACGUGUAGAAGUGUGUGAGAACUCUGGAAACCCAAAGCUGAUUCUCUGAGAUGCCAAGCACGUGGUGAAGACAGCUUUCAGCUACUUUUGGACUGGAAACUUGUCUCAUUUGGCCCCUUUUGAGCUGGUGUUAUUUCUGGGUCUGGUGGAUACAAGAGGAAGGGAUUGACCGGUUGUCCUAGGUUACAAAGUAAAGAUAUGCCCAAAGGGAUGUAUUCUAUCACCAUCUGCUGAAACCAGGACUCAUCCUUCCUCCAGGAACAUAUCUUCUG